CUAGCUUCCUCCGCCUGGCUUCCUCUGCUUGCUGGGACGUGUGGCAGCCAGAGCACGUUUCUGUCGGGGGCGCCUUUUGGUCGAAGCCGGGGCUCGCCGUUUGGAGUCGCGCCCGUCUGGCUUCCUGUGGCUGGAGGGGGGGGGUCAUCGAAGGCCCUGCUGCGGUUGGCUGACAGCGUGGACAGAGGCCGGAUUCGCCAUCGCGCACUGAACGCCGACUUACCACAGACAUGAUCAUCAGGCUGGGCAGACUCACUCCUGGGUACUUCAGGCUUCUCCAGAGGCAGGUGGCGGGCGAGGUCCAAACACAGCCGCAGGACCGCAUGGUCAACCAGCUCGCCAUGAUGCUGGCCAUCAUGGGCCUCAGCCUGUCCUAUUACAGCGCCCGGCAGAUGACGGAGAAGGUGCAGAACGCCCCCGCCCCCUGAGGAGGCCACGCCCACCCGCCAGCCAGAGGAGAAGGCUGUGUGAAAUCACUGAGAGGGAGGGA